ensembl:lncRNA
GAAGAUCCCACAUCCUGCCGGGCAGCUGGGUCUAUGUGACACAACUACUGAAGCCUGGGUGCUGCAACAGGAGAAGCCCCAGCAAGGAGAAGCCCACGCACCGCAACUAGACAGCCGCCCCCACUCACUAUAACGAGAGAAAGUCCGCUCGCAGCCAUGAAGACCCAGUGCGGCCAAAAAUCAUUUAAUUAAAAAACGAAAAUGAAAAACAUCAUGGUUGGCAAAAGGAAUCUGUUAAGGCAAAGUCCUAGAAGGCCUGACUGACCACAGCCUUGUGAUCCGUCACUAAUCAAAAUGCUGACUGGGGGCUUCUCUGGUGGUACAAUGGAUAAGAAUCCACCUGCCAAUGCAGGAAACACGAGUUCGAUUCCUGGUCCAGCCAAGACUCCACAAGCAGCCCGUGCCCCACUGCUGUUGAUCCUGUGGUCUAGAGCCGGGGAGCUACAACUACUGCGUCCACAUGCCCUAGAGCCUCUGCCCCACAGCAAGAGAAGCCACUGCAAUGAGAAGCCCGCACACCCCAAGUAGAGAGUAGCCCCCACUUGCCUCAACUAGAGCAGCCUGAGCAGCAAGGAAGACCCAGCACAGCCAAAAAUAAUAAAUAAAUAAAUAGUGAAAUCAGGAUUUUUUUUUUUUUUAAAGAAGUUACUGGAAAAUGCUGACUGGAUUUGCCUCAGUGUUGACUUGUUAACUGGUGUAGAUUUAUUUGAUGGUAAGAUGAGCUUCAAUGUGUUGUUGGAGAUCUCUUUAUUGUCAUGGAAAGGUGUCCACAGUAUACUGAAAACUGAAAACAUUCAUUCAAUAGUAUGCGUUUUUGAUUCUAUUGUUGUUAAAAUAUGUGUGCGUUUGUGUAAACAUGAUGGACAGGGAAGCCUGGGGUGCUGCAGUCCGUGGGGUCGCAAAGAGUUGGACACAACUGAGCAGCUGAACUGAACUGAUGUAACCAUG